rnacentral:hammerhead_ribozyme from 1 species
GCCCAGCUAACGAGUCCUGAAUGGGACGAAACGCUCUUCCUGGAU